GACGAACGCUGGCGGCGUGCUUAACACAUGCAAGUCGAACGCUGAAGCUCAGCUUUUGUUGGGUGGAUGAGUGGCGAACGGGUGAGUAACACGUGAGUAACCUGCCCCCUUCUUUGGGAUAACGCCCGGAAACGGGUGCUAAUACUGGAUAUUCACUGGUCCUCGCAUGGGGGUUGGUGGAAAGGGUUUUUCUGGUGGGGGAUGGGCUCGCGGCCUAUCAGCUUGUUGGUGGGGUGAUGGCCUACCAAGGCUUUGACGGGUAGCCGGCCUGAGAGGGUGACCGGUCACAUUGGGACUGAGAUACGGCCCAGACUCCUACGGGAGGCAGCAGUGGGGAAUAUUGCACAAUGGGCGCAAGCCUGAUGCAGCGACGCCGCGUGAGGGAUGGAGGCCUUCGGGUUGUGAACCUCUUUCGCUCAUGGUCAAGCCGCAACAAUGGUUGUGGUGAGGGUAGUGGGUAAAGAAGCGCCGGCUAACUACGUGC
rnacentral:rRNA from 1 species